rnacentral:rRNA from 1 species
GAUGAACGCUAGCUACAGGCUUAACACAUGCAAGUCGAGGGGCAGCAUGAACUUAGCUUGCUAAGUUUGAUGGCGGCCGGCGCACGGGUGAGUAACACGUAUCCAACCUGCCGAUGACUCGGGGAUAGCCUUUCGAAAGAAAGAUUAAUACCCGAUGGCAUAGUUCUUCCGCAUGGUAGAACUAUUAAAGAAUUUCGGUCAUCGAUGGGGAUGCGUUCCAUUAGGUUGUUGGCGGGGUAACGGCCCACCAAGCCUUCGAUGGAUAGGGGUUCUGAGAGGAAGGUCCCCCACAUUGGAACUGAGACACGGUCCAAACUCCUACGGGAGGCAGCAGUGAGGAAUAUUGGUCAAUGGACGAGAGUCUGAACCAGCCAAGUAGCGUGAAGGAUGACUGCCCUAUGGGUUGUAAACUUCUUUUAUACGGGAAUAAAGUGAGGCACGUGUGCCUUUUUGUAUGUACCGUAUGAAUAAGGAU